CAAAUUUAUAUUUUUUUUACUUUAGGCGAUUCCUAAUUGCAGAUGGAGCUGCCUAAAAUGUACUGAUAUUGUGGCAGUACUUUCUUCCUCCUCAGCCAUGUCUCUCUCACCAAAACCCCUCUUGCAUCGCUUGUGUUUCAACGAGCUUCCUUGCAUUUACACUUUUAGGGUUCCCACUCGGUUCCACCUACAGAAAUCAAAGAGCCCCUCAUCAAACCUGUCCCACUUUCAACGUCUCUGCUCAGUUACCGGCGACAACAAUGUUUCUGGUUCAUCGGGUUCUCACAACAAAAAUCAUGACCAUGGAGCUAAAUUAUCCGGCAUCUUGCCUUGUUUUCCAGGCUCAAGGGAAAGGAGUGAAAUGAGUCGAUCGUCAGCUUCGAAUGAUUUGUUGAAGAAACUAAAGAGAUAUGGGAUUUCUGGAAUAUUAUCCUAUGGGCUUUUGAAUACUGCCUACUACCUUACAACCUUUCUCUUGGUGUGGUUCUAUAUUGCUCCUGCACCUGGAAAAAUGGGUUAUUUCGCUGCUGCUGAAAGAUUUCUCAAAGUGAUGGCAAUGGUGUGGGCUGGGAGCCAAGUUACCAAGCUUGUGAGAGCAGGAGGGGCUUAACAAAUGGAUAGUUUUAUGGGCUGUUUGGGUUGCUGCUGAGGUCGGAUGGUCCUCAAGCAUUGGGACACUGUAACGAGUAAUGACCAUAGUUGGAACAUUUCUCAAAAGUGUCUGAAAUUAAACGAACAAACCAGAAAACAUAAAAUAUUUGGAGAUAUAAAUUCCUGGUCUGAUGCGCAAUUGUUGUUACGUUAAUGCAAUUUAGAGGAACUAAACCCCUGUUUUCAACCUCAGCAAAGAAUUUGUUUCCCAAAGUUGCAAGGACAUGGAUGUAGUUGAACCUUGUGAGCUUGUUUUAUAUUAAACUAAGACAGUUUUCUGUUGGAUUGCUUCAUGGUAAUUCUUUUUUUCUAGAUCAUGAAUCAUCAUUUUUAUUUUAUCCACCUGUCUUUUUUUCCCCUUGCCCUUGUUUUAUGAUUUUGUUUGAUGUUCUUAUACUACCAUUUUGCAUAUAGAAUUGGAUGAUUCCCAUCCACAGUAAGGCUCUUUUACUAUCUUUUUAAAUCUUGUAAGCCUAAUUUAGUAAGUGCAUUAUACAUUUUGAAGCAUUUGUUUCUUAAAGAGAUACCUCUUGCCCAGGGCCCUUGCUCUUGCACCUUUUGUAGACAGUGGAUUGUCAUGGUUCACUGUCAAAUUCAAAUUUGAGUCUCAGGAGAAGGCUUUCAUAGCAAUUGUUGGAUUCUGUUUUGGGCUGGCCGUCAUUUUAUUUCUAGUCAUGACAUUGCUCUGG